UGGUUUGUUUGUUUACGUGAAAAAGUGUUAUCUGCAAAAAUACCAUUGAGUUCGUUUUGUGUUAGCCAACAACUCCUAGGCAUGGGGCCCACUCUGAAGUGUGGUUAAUAUACCUAGUGAGACUCCACUGGCAAAAAGUACUUUUCUUGUGCGGAUGGGUACCAAUUUCAGAUAGCUUUUUGGUUCAUGGUGGGACGCUGUGUCCACUUCAACCUCUCAGCUCUAGGAUUCCAUCUGGCUUGAUCCCCUGUACAUCCUUUGUGUGCUGUCACAGUUUCUGUGAGUUCGUAUGUGAAUUAGUUCUGUUGUAUACAAAAGACACUUUCUUUGGAGUCAUCCAUCAGCUCUGACUCUUAGAAUCUUUCCUCCUCUUCUGUGUCGAUCCCUGAGCCUUGAAGGGAAGGUGUUGGGUGGCUUAGCAUCUUUUUAUACUUGAUUUUUUUUCCAGAUAAUAUAAAAGCUAUAAAGGCCUAGUAACAUCUAUUUUGUGCAUCUACCUAAGGUCUCUGUUGAAUUCUCUUUGCUCUUCUGACUUUUAAGUCCAUGAGAGCUCUGUUUAGGUGACCAUCCUCUCACCAGGGCAAACCUGCUCCUGCAGGGUGUGACUGGGGCUGGAUGCAUGACUAAGAGAACAGAUAUGCAUUCCUGAACAUUUCAUAACAGAAGAAAGAGAUCCUUUGACAUCAUUCUCUGCUAGAGAAGUAGCGUCUUACUUAAAAUAAAUCAAUAAGUAAACUUCAGUUUGCCUUCCAGUGCUGUGCACAUGUUCAUAAUGACCAUCCUGCCUUGCACAAGCUGAAGAAAACGAUGCAUUCAUAUCUAUUGGCUUGGUAAAAGUCGCCAGAGAAGUUGGAGGUGACUCGGUCCAAGAAUUAAUGAGCUAAGGGUUUUUCCUAACCGCUGUCCCCUCCAUUCAUCCAGACAUUUCUCCCACUUCCUCAUAUUUUACUUCCAUUAUCUUCAUCCGGCAAAUUCAGAUAUCACCAGUGACGUUGCUGCAGAGAAAAAUAGACUUAUCAGUUAUUGAGUCUUGAUGUUCUAUCGCCUCUAGUGCAGAUUAUCCUUUGACCUUGCAAGAGCGUAUUCAUCCGCCUGUGCUUCCUUAAAUGACUCAGAAACUCUGUCCUCUCCUGCCUCCUUCUGUGCUUCCUUGUUCCAGUGGCCUCGCCGCCAUUUUGUUCCACCAACCCCAGUUUCUUUUACUGCUGUUUUGCCUCUGUACAGCUGGUUCUUCACCUUCACUUUUCUCUGUGUGCAUUUUCUUCCUAAGCAUGUCUGGUCUUCAUUUAUGAUGCAUGUCUUUAUUUAAUUUUUAUGUACACAUUUCUCUUCCUCCAAAAGGGCCAAAGACUUUGUGAAGGCAAAAGUCAUGUUGUAACUGAGACUUACACUCAGUUUAUAAGGAGCUCGAAUUUUUUAAUCUAGGGAAAAGACUAGAGCCACAGAUGAAAGUGGUGUAGUUAGUAACUCAUGUUUGGUUGCCUCCUCCAAUAGUCCUGCGGUGGUCAGUGGAGACCACCUUGUCUUCAACCUGAUUCUUGGUCACCGUCCUCCAAGGAUGGUAUCCACAGACAUCAAAGAGUACAAACAGGAGGGACUUUAUUACCAAUUCGUGAUUAUCAACUUCAAGCAGGAUAAAACAGCUUGAAUAUCACCACACAGGAUUUAAAUAAAAUAGGUUUGAACUCUUGUUUGCAGCAGGAUGCUGUCUGGGAGCCGUGGAAGCUCCAGGAAAUGUUUUGUGGUUUGUCUGGAGUUUUUGUUUGACUUCUGCUUGCCUGCUUGCUUGCUUGCUUGCUUGCUUGCCUGCCUGCCUGCCUGCCUGCCUGCCUGCCUGCCUGCUUGCUUGCUUUGGCUUGAGGGCUUAGCUUUGGCUGACCUACAAGUCAGGAUGAGAUGAGGAUAUCGUCCAGUUCACAAGAUCCCCCUGCCUCUGCCUCUCCUACAAUGUUAGAAUUAAAGGCCUGUGCCACCUCUACUUGGCAACCUUGGGGCGUGUUACAGCUUUUGGAGGCUGGAAGCAGCUGUUUGAGUAAAUUCCUGUCUGCGGCUGCAGUAUCUCAGAGGCUGAGGACGAAUGAGUCUCCCCCAACCCCUACUUCUUAUAGCCAUUGGUUGAGUCCUGAGGACAGAGUGGACUUUGCUCCCUGGCCUGGGCAGAAGCCCUGGGUGCCAGGGACCAGCAUCUCCACUGACUCCUAAAGGUAGUCUUUCUUUCUUGUCUGCUGAGUGAGCUGCCUGGGAACUGGAUCCUCAAGUCUUCAUUCAGGCCUCUUCCUUUGAGAAGAACAGGAAUCUCUGACUUCUGUGGGCUUCCGCCUGAACUUAGAGGGUACCGGCUAGACUCUGGCUGGCAGAAUUUGGGUUUGCAAAUAAAACAAGGAAAUGAAACCAAUCCGGGGAGAGCUGUCAAACCCGAUAGAAAAAAAAGGAAGAACCCGAGCCAACCAAAAGUUUCUAAAAGUUCACUGUUAAAUCUGCCAGGUCCCCUCCCCUAUCUCUGCAGAGGGGAACUUUGAAGAAAAUCUGUUGCUGUCUGUUCCCAGUUGCAUGGCCUAGUGCUUCCUUCAUCUAGGGAAUUUUGUUCAGAUAAGAUUUUCUGCUUCUUUGGGGCCCAUUUGCAGCUCUUCUGCCCUCAAGGCUUGAGCUUGCCAGCUGUCUGAAAGCUGCGGAGUGGGGGUGUCUCUGGAGAGGGUGCCCCUAACAGUGCAAUGCUCUAUAACUGUUUCUGGCCAAUCCUUGACAACUAAACCGCUGUUUCCAACCCUUAAAAUGUGACUAGUAUGACACCAUAGAGGAUUUAUGAGGGUGUAGGUGGGAUUUGUGUGUGUGUGUGUGUGUGUCCUGGGUUGUUUUGUUGAGACAGAUUCUCAUGUAGCCCAGGCUAGCCUCAAACUUGCUGUGUAGUCAAGGAUGACCCUCAACUCCCAAUUCUUCGUCCUCUACCUCCUAAAAUAUGGGGUUAUAGGCAGGUAUCACUAAAGUCUAGCUUUGAGUUUUUACAUUUCAGUUCAUUUACAUUUAAAUUGUCACGCUGUGCCUCGUGGCAACCAUAUUGGAUAGUACAGGCACAGACAGGUAAUGUAAUUAUGCCAAGAAAUGUGAACCCUACUUUCCCUGUACUAUAGUCAAGGGUAUCUGGAAAAACACUUGUGUUUUUGCAUACGGACCUAAUGCUGGAUAUGUGUAUCAACCCCCCAAAUGCUAUAUGUAAAGAUGUAGACAAAUCAAUACACCUUGUGGCACGUUGUAGACCAGAUAGACCUUUGUAAGCCACCUUGCUUCUAACCAUAAAAAGUUCCUGUCAUAUAGUGUGCACUUGGAAGAUGUCCAGAGAAUGGGAAGAAUGGGAGUUGUAGUAAGAAUUCCAGUCCCACAGAAGUUACCACCUUUCUUAGAAAUCAUUUUUUACCCUUAAAAAAUGUUUAUUAUAUUUUAUUGUGUGUGUACUCCUGUGGCAAUUGGGUUCAACUUGUGGGUGUUGGUUUUCUCCUUUUUCCAUGUGGGGUCUGGGAAUCAAACCCAGGUCUUUUGGUUUGAAGGCAAGGCCCUUCUCUGUUAAGCAGUCACCUUAUCGGCCCAGAGCCACUUUCUCCUAAACAAGGCUCUGUAGAAGAGCUGUUUCCAAAGUUACGCGACUACUGCAGAAGGACUGCGUGGAAGCUGCAAGGCUGCUGAGAAGAUCAUCGAGGUCAGUAAGUGUUACAUCUCCAUCCAUCGUGAGGGAAGCUUGGCUAUCCAGGCUACCCCUGAAACGUUUACAAAGAAACACAGGUUUACCAUUGCUUCUGAAACGACUGUGCUCAUCCGGGCACAAGCCAUCGGCAUUUUCAUCAGACCAGGAGUGACAAAAAGGGACAAGAGGACCAGUUAAUUACUGAGAUCAUCUGAGGUUCGUAUGUUUGACAUCAUAGCGUUUCCCACAACCUGCCCAAGUAAUUACUCUCUGUCCCGAGAGUAAUGCUGAAAUACCACCUCUCAUGUCUCUUUAUACCCGUGUGUUUUACUAAAAUGCUCUGCAAGCUGCAGGGUCCUCAGAUCCGUUUUCAGAUGAGCUGUUACAACCUGACUGGGAACGUUCAACGUAAUACUACCAGCAUGCUUUAAGAGAAAAUAAAGUUUAUUCUUGUUCAAGUUAAAGUCUAGACACGCCUCAACUUGUCAACUCUGGCCAAAUUUAUAAAUUAUUUAACACCAGUAGAGUAAUACAAUCUUUAUCCUGGAUGAUUCAAACCUUGAUGUAACUAAACUGAUGAGCCAGUAGAAAAACCACUUAACAUGUACUUGAGACCGUAUACUCUCAUGAAAAUAUACAGGUAGCCAAGCAGUUGUGAAACAUGUACAUAAUUUACUAUGAAGGGCUGUGACACACAAGAGUGUCUCCUAUAUGGCACAAUCAGGUUAGUUAAGAGCCAGGAUCUAUGUGGAGAAUAAAAACACUGUGACAGUGCUGGACGCAGGUGACCUCAAUGAUGAGUUCCCACUACAAAAUCCCCUUACAGAAGAAUGUUCCAGGCAUAGUGACCUGAAAUUUAUUUCAUGUUUCGAAGAGGAGUGGGUGUUUCCCAUGAAGCCUGGUCCACUGAGAUGCUUCUGAUACCACAGAAAACAAAGCCUCACAUUUAGGAAAGCCAUAUCAGGGGAAUCCACUCCUUUGGGUCCUGGGACAUCCAGCCUCAAUGAUAACUUGGAACCCAGUAGAAAGAAACUUACACACAGAGAAACAAUGGUAGACCCUGAUGCAUGGAAGAAGGAGAGCUCCUGCCCUUGAAUUAGAGCAUUUCUUUUAAGUGAAGGCACUAGAACAUUCUAAUAAGAUUAACUUCUGAAACAUAUAUCAAAUUAUUUUCUGUGCUUAUUUUCAUUACUGGUCUUCAGGGAUGCUCAGUAUCUCUGAGCAUAGAAAGAGAGGCGUUUGUGCCUUCUAUAUUGUGAAAUAUAAUACAGAGAAUGGAAGCACAAAUUAUCACAAACCAAGCACCACCAAGCACUGUCCCAUAGGCCAAAAAACAUUACUAGCAAACGAGAAAGUUUUCCUAUGAACUCUCUGCUUGCUUCACCCACCUACUUGCCAAGGUAGCCACUGUCCUGAGUUUUAUGAUAAGCACCCCCUUGGAGUUCUUUAUGGUGCUUAUCAACCAGGCAUGAGGCUUUUGCCUGGCUUUGUUUUGCUUUUAUUUCAAUGCAAUUGCUUAUAUGAUUGCAUGUGUGAAAUUGGUUCUACAACUAAUGGAUAUGUAAGGUGCUUCCAGUUUGAUACUACUAAGAUUAUUGUGAAUAUUUGUAUAUAUGUCUCUAAGAGAAUAUACAAAUUUCUGCUAAGGACGUACAGGAGUGUGUGAUUGUAAGUCAUAAAGUAUGUUCCAAAGGAAGUGUACAAAAUGUGUUGUAAUAAAACACUCCCAAUGCCACAAUGUUUACCGUUCAUAUCUUAAAACUUUUUGACCACUGGGACACCUUAUAAAGUAUCCACUCUCAUAAAGUAUGUCACUCUUAACAGUUGAGACCCUUGUCCUCGUUUGCUUCCUAUUGUCAAGAUAUACCCCGUGAUCAGAAGUAACUUGGAAGAAAAAGACUUAUUAUGUCUUGCAAGUCCAUCGUCAAGAGAAGCCAGGGCAAGAACUCAAGCUGAAACCUGGAGGCAGGAGCUGAGGCCAAGACUAUAGACAGAGUCCUGCUUACUGGUUUGCUCCUGUGAUUUGAUCAGUUUGCUUUCUUAUCUGCCUCAGGGCCAUGUGCCCUGGAAAGGCACCUCCCACAGUUAAGCUUGGCUCUCCCACAUCAAUCAACCACUAAGAAAAAGCUUGACAGACAUACCCACAGGCUAAUCUGAUACAGGCAGUUCCUCCACUGAUGUUAUCUCUUCCUUAAUGACUCCAGUUUGGGUCAAGUUGACAAAAAUAAAAUAAAAUAAAAUAAAAUAAAAUAAAAUAAAAUAAAAUAAAAUAUAAAAAUAAAAUAAAAAUAAAAACUCAACAACAAAAAAACCUAACCAGCACAAACCUCAAGUUUUCUACUGAAGGCUGUUUCUUCCUAAGUACCUUUCUGUAUACCAUAUAAGAAAUUAAAACUGGGGCUGGUGAGAUGACUCAGUGGUUAAAAGCACUGGCCGCUCUUCCAGAGGUCAUGAGUUCAAUUCCCAGCAACCACGUGGUGGCUCACAACCAUCUCUAGGGGGAUAUGAUUCCAUCUUCAGGCAGGCAGAUAUAUAUGAAACAGAGCACUCAUCCAUUAAAUAAAUAAAUUUGAAAAAAAUUUUAAAAAGAAAGAAAUUAAAACUGAAAAGAAUUCAGAAUAUUUCUUUUUCUUUACACAUACUCUAAGAAGCAUGAAAAUAAAAUAAGGUCUAUUUUCCAGAAUAAAAGCUUGAGAAGAACGUCCCUUCCUUUUGUGUUUCUAUAAGUCUUACCAGUACUGACUUAAUGGACAGCUAAGAUUAAUGAGCUUCCCAAGUCUGCUUCUGAAUUCUCUGAGGAGGUCUCCCAUGACCUGUGUCCUCUGGGAAACUUCCCUUUGCACUCAUGAGAGAAUGAGAGUUAAAAAGGCUAGUGCCUCAGCUGACCCCCUCAAACGAUUUCUAGAAUUCACGGGGGCUUCUACACCUCAUCUUGAGGGCUACAGCCCUAAAUAUUUACUUAGUUGUCUGUGAAGCACUCACUGAGAAAGUCUAGACAAAAUGCAUUCCAAAAGCAAUUAAUGAUAUUGUCACAAGAAAUACUAUGUAAGAGUCUAAUUCUCCCCUGCCUCGGACAUGCAACAAAUUUUGUGUGUUCUUUUUGCCAUUAAAAAAAAAAAAAGGGAAAAAAAAUAUAUACACUAUUAAUAAAACAAAGUUGUCAAAAAUAUUUAAGGCAUAAUGGCAUAAUAUAUUUUGAUUGAUACAUGGAGGAUUUUUCAAUUUCACAUAAUCAAAUUUUGAAACUUAUUCCUACAAAUUUUGAGACCCAGUCCAUGGAUAACCAGAAACAUUAUUGUGGGGCAGCUGAACUCAGUGUGACUUUUGUGAUAAAGUAGGAUUUGUUUGCUUGUAUGAUCAGACUCUCUCCCACUUUAUAGACUCAUAAAGUUCUUUUUACUGCUGCAUUUAGAUCCGUGGUAACUAGUUAAAGAGAUCAGUUACUACUAAAGUAGUUUCUACUGCUAUAGACAGCAUGUCUCGCUAGUCCCUUAUUCACAGAUCCCAGCAUUUGACCUUCAUCCUUCCGGGUCGCUGGACUCUCUUCUUCUGAAGUGUGUUGUGGCCAACAACAUUCAAGUACCAGGGACAAGUGAUAUUCUCAAAGACGGGUCGAUGUGCUCCUAAUGCCAGUGGAAAUUGUUUUUCCUAUUGAUUAAAAACCUCCUUUCAAAGAGGUGAGGCAGUUCCUUGUGAGCUAGGACAGCACUAACACAGAGAGCCAAGCUGUAACAAGUCAUUGCUCUCCAGGAACCUGUAAUGCCCGAGAUCCCACAGAGAUGUUCCAUGCUUUAAGCCUACAGACUCUGAGAAAUUCUUAGUCUAUAUUCGGGAGAAUUUGCAGAGGGAAGUAAUCAGCCUUCUUAGUUCUAACAAACUGGCCACCUGCUUACUCACCACUUCCUGCCUUUUCCUUCCUAAAACGGAAGCUGACUUUGCUCUCCACAGACUCCGGCUGUGCUGUAAGAAAGCUUCUGUGAGCAUACUGGGGUACACAUGUACUGGGGUACACAUGCCCCUCGGGUCCCUCUUACAUUUACCCUCACAAAGUCUAAGAAGUUUUCCCUUCAGUGUAACUACUCCAGCCACAAACAACCACACCCUUCCAAGCUCAGAUGUGAACGCUGUUUAAAUCCUCGUUGGAAGUGACCUGGGCAGUAUCCGCACUCGGCCUCAGAGUCUGAUCCCCAGAGUCAGAGCAGAGCAAGCAUCUGCUUUCGAAAUGUAUUUUAAAAAAUAUUGACAUUCUACAUUUGUUGUUUUGUUUGUUUGUUUGUUUGUUUUAACCAAAGAUACAUGCUGGUUUCUUCAUGGUCUUCAUUUCUAUCCUCAUUUUUAACACCUGUUGCUUUCUUCUUCUUCUUCUUCUUCUUCUUCUUCUUCUUCUUCUUCUUCUUCUUCUUCUUCUUCUUCUUCUUCUUCUUCUUCUUCUUCUUCUUCGUCUUCCUCUUCCUCUUCCUCUUCCUCUUCCUCUUCUUCUUCUUCUUCCUGAUAGACUCAUCAUUUUCUUUUCUGUUUUUCAACUGAGGUCAGUGAAGCAAAGAAUCAGUACAGUGAGCCAAGUGACAGUGUCUGGGAAGAGCAAGGACCAAGGCUAGAAAGUCUCUCUAGGAGAAGCCACGGCAGGAAACCCUGAUUUGCAUCUGUCCCCAAAUAGAGUCCAGCAUAGAAGGGACCAUAGAGAGCCAGACUGCCAGACAAGAAUAUGAGAGUGCGCGUUGGGAUGCCAACAAGUUGUACCACAAAGUAUUCUGAGUAUGGUCUUGAGUAUCCUUGGUCUGGCAUCUUUUAUACAAAUACUGGAGAGUUUGAAAGUGUUGAAUACCAAAUUUUUAUCUCUGCUUUAAGGCAUUCAAUUGCCAUGGCCUAUCAUCACACGGGUUUUCUUCAAUAGAAAUGCUGAAUCUGCUGGGUAAAAAGUAAAUAUUCCGAUUUGUAUGUAUGCUGUGUCAAAGAGGAAAUUUUAAUUCACAUAACAGAAAUUUUGAUCCAAACUAUCUCUAAUGCUCCGUUUUGGUGAGUACAUACACGUUUUAAAACUUGAACCACGGACCUCCAUGGAGAAGCCACCCAGCCUGGAUGACUAGUAGGCGCAAGGCUGGACAGCAAGCUAGAAGAAACUGUAAACCCAAGACUGCUGCAGCAGUUAAAUACCUCACAGCAGGAACACCAUUUUCCCAUUCUCAUCUCACCUGCAGGCCUCUAGGAUCUCACAGGCAUUUACAGCAAAGGUCUAGGGCCCUUGAGGGAUGCCUAGUACCAUAUUAAGUUUCUUCAGCCAAGGCCUAUGGGUGUGUUGUGGGGAGGGAGGUAUAAGUGUGUGUAAAUUAUUACUCGGGCCUGAGCAUCCUGAGAGAAUUGUCAAUAACUGACUAGGAUAGAGCAGGCAGUAAUGUCAUUAGGUUAGGGCUGGCUGUCACAAGACAGAAAACAAAAAGUAGAGUUAUAUAAAAAGAUGACAAAGGGAAGGUGUCUGAUUUCAUACUAGACAGUGGACACAUGAAGAAACUGUCCCUAUGCCAUAAUCUUCAAAGAGGAGUUUGCACCAUCAGCUGAAGAGCUAUGCUCUGACGAUCAUGGAGACGAAAUCCAAAAAGGUUGAGGAGAAGUGGAACGAGCUGGCUCGGAAACAGGAGGAGGAGGCAGCCCAGAAGCGACCCGUGGAGGUGAACUUUGCCAAUGACUCCAGGGACAAAUAUAGCCAUCUCACUGGCAGAAGAGCAGCCAAGGACGCAGCCCACGUGCUACAGGCUAGCCGUGGCUGUGUACCCGUGACGAACAAACAGGACACAGUCCACAGAAGAGAAUAUGUAUGAAGUUGGAGCCAGUAAACACUGUGGCAGAAUGGCAGAGUUGCCAGCCACCCUCUAGGCAUCCCACCCCACUCCCUCCGACCCUCCAGCAAGGUCGGGGCAUGGAAGGGCAAAGAUGCUACUAUCAAGACCCAUCCUGGAGCCCCAUUUCCAAACUAUGAGGUCCUAUCAGCUGUUAUUUGGACUGGAGAAGAACUGGUUGUUUAUCACUGUUGCAGUUUGGACAUUGUGUGUGUGCGGGUGUGUGGGUGUGUGGGUGGGUGUGAAUAUGUGGGUGUGAAUAUGUGGGUGUGUAUUUAUAUUAUUCCCUAUUAUUCUUGGAACUUUCUUCCUCCUUGGAGCUGGGGUUACUUUACAUUGAAUAAACACUGUUUGGCCCUGGGGAGGGAGAACUCAUCCACGUAACCACGCUGAAGUUAGGGAAGGUUGCCUGUGGUAGGAGGGUCACAGGAUGAACCUCCUGAGAGCAGGGGACAGGUUGGUGGAAGGUGAACAUCAAGAUGCUUCCGACAGAGAAGCCAGACACCACCUGGAAGAGCAUGAUGCCAGAUGUUGAGGGACAAUGAAGAGGCCUGGGCUUAGAAGAGCGAAGGGAUGCUCUGUGAAUAAAGGAGUGCUGGGUCUACUCCAACCCAGCAGGGCACAGUCUUCAGGAAAGUCGGCCCAGUCGGAAUGGCGACCCACUGACCUUGCAUAUUUGCACCUCAGUCUGCCUUUGCAGUGGUGGGAAGCAAAAGGCGACCAUAACUUUCUAAAGACAACACCAUCAUUCAGUGGCUUGGAUCAAUCUAUCCGAUCUUAAAAUGCCCGGGAUAGUUUUGCCCUUACUUUCCAAUCCAGAUUUCAGAAUAUAAAUUCAUGAUGUUACUGUGAGGAAAAAAAAGUUGGAAAACUAAGGUUUUUUUGUUUUGUUUUGUUUUGUUUUUUGUUUUGUUUUUUUGUUUUCCUUUAAAAUUAUUUCUAUUUAUUAAGAGUCCAGGAUUUUUUUAUUACAUAUUUUCCUCAAUUACAUUUCCAAUGCUAUCCCAAAAGUCCCCCAUACCUUCCCCCCCACUUCCCUACCCACUCAUUUCCCAUUUUUUUUUGGCCCUGGCGUUCCCCUGUACUGGGGCAUAUACAGUUUGCGUGUCCAAUGGGCCUCUCUUUCCAGUGAUGGCCAACUAGGCCAUCUUUUGAUACAUAUGCAGCUAGAGUCAAGAGCUCCGGGGUACUGGUUAGUUCAUAAUGUUGAUCCACCUAUAGGGUUGCAGAUCCCUUUAGCUCCUUGGGUACUUUCUCUAGCUCCUCCAUUGGGAGCCCUGUGAUCCAUCCAUUAGCUGACUGUGAGCAUCCACUUCUGUGUUUGCUAGGCCCCGGCAUAGUCUCACAAGAGACAGCUACAUCUGGGUCCUUUCGAUAAAAUCUUGCUAGUGUAUGCAAUGGUGUCAGCGUUUGGAAGCUGAUUCUGGGGUGGAUCCCUGGAUAUGGCAGUCUCUACGUGGUCCAUCCUUUCGUCUCAGCUCCAAACUUUGUCUCUGUAACUCCUUCCAUGGGUGUUUUGUUCCCAAUUCUAAGGAGGGGCAUAGUGUCCACACUUCAGUCUUCAUUCUUCUUGAGUUUCAUGUGUUUAGCAAAUUGUAUCUUAUAUCUUGGGUAUCCUAGGUUUUGGGCUAAUAUCCACUUAUCAGUGAGUACAAAUUGUGUGAGUUCCUUUGUGAAUGUGUUACCUCACUCAGGGAAAACUAAGUUUUAUCUUAGAGAAAAGCCAUAUAAUAAAAUACAGGUUGAUAGCCAGUUAUGUAACUUACCUAAAAUAUAAAUGUAUUUCAGCUAAGUCACAUCUCCUUGGGGCCAAUCAAUGAAAAGACAGGUCUGGCUUCCCUUUCUAACCUCAUGAUAAGAUUAUUAAGAUUACUUUACUGGGGCUAGAGAUAUGGCUCAGUAGAUAAAAGCACUUACCAUAUAGAAGCACCAUCUCUAGAAGCUCAUGGGCCACCUAUGUGCAGAGCGUGCACAGUAGUGAUCAAUAAGAGAUCACUUAAAUAGGGAAGAUGGCAAAGACAUGCACCAGAGGUUCGCAUCUGACCCCCACACAUGGGCCAUGGCAUGUGUGCCCACACUUACAUUCCUCAUACACACUAUACACGCUGCAUAUGCACACACACAAAUAAUACCUUGUCCUAUGGAAGAAUAUGAUGAUUGGGACUGGCAUAUGGUUAAGCCAAUGCAAGAGGAAUGCAUGGAACAUAAAUGGAUUAUAGAAGUGAAUAAAACAAGGCUGGCCAUGUAAAAGUGGGGUUCUGAGUAUAUGAGCAUAGGGAUGCAUAUACCUCUUUUGUAUAUAUUUCAAACUUUAAGAAUUAUAUCUAGGAUCUACGAGGCAGGCGAGAUGGCUUUGUCAGUCAUCUGCCACCAAGCUGAAUGACCUUAGUUCCGUACCUAGGACUCAUGUGGUGGAGAGAACUCCCACAAGUCCCUCCCUAACCUCCAUAGGUACACACACACACACACAAUAAUUUAUGAUUAUACUUGAAUUUUCCAUCUAGCCCGUAUUUUUAUUGCGAUUUUAAAAUCAAUUCCUAUUGUGAAAAAUCUAGAAAAGAUUAUCAAGGGUAAAGGAGUAAAAUGUCCCUGUGCUUGGCAAAUCCUAUUACUUAGAUAUCAAAUCUGUUACUGGUGCCACCCCAGCAAUAUAAAAGGAUCCAUUUUGUGGCAUGGACUAGUCAUUAACUUUAAUGCCAUGUUUCUUCAGUAUUAUAGGGACUAAUGCCUUCCCAAGUUUUUGUAAGAGAUGAAAAAAAGUGUUUUAUAUAUACAUUUAUAUAUGUGUGUGUGUGUGUGUGUGUAUAUAUAUACACACACACACAUAUUCUACUUACUAUUUAACCACUAUCAGUUGUGUUGAUUCCAAGGUCAGAUCCAGGAAUGAACUAAGGUGAAAAAGCAUGACUUCCCCUUAAACAUUAAACUCUGUGAGAGAACAAAGAUAUCUGACCAACUACUAUCCACAGUUUGGCAAAACAUCUUGACAAAGCACUGCGAGCAACCGACGCCUACAGAAAAAGAAGAAAGGUAUUUCUUCAUCCUAACCAGAAAGACAGUAUUUCAUGUUUCAUUACAGUUGUAUACAUUGGCUAACAAAGUCCUGCAAAACGUGGCUGCUUCAAACAGCAGAAGGAUUGCCACAUUUGACAACCGUUUCUUAAGAUUCGUUUUGGGGGCUGAUGGAGACAGGAGUAACUAGGGGGCCGGGGCUGAUUCACACAAUCUCUUAAGAAGUUGCAGCCACACUGAGCCAACCCACAACUACCCUUGCUACAAGGGUCUCUGCAGAGGCUGCCUGAGUGUCUCAAGGACAAGGCUGGUGUUUUCCCAUAAAGUGAUUGGACAGAGAGAAAUGAGCGAGGAAAGGCAGUUAAGAACGAACCCGAGUGAGAGUGUCCAUGAUAGAACAUGCCUCAUCUGUAAUCUGGUACAGGAAGUGACAGGACACCAUCCUGAUUAAUCCUAUAGAUCAUACACUGUAGAACAAAAUAACAAAGGCUGUGAACACCAGGAAGUAUGGGUUGCCAAUUACGUUUUAGAGGCUGGCGACCACAUAGAGGAUGAAAAGAAAAUAAUAACACCUCAAAGCACUAGAGAUAACAUGUAUGAAAAGAGUUCUGAAGAGAAAUAAAAAAAGGGGGGGGGUGUUAAUGCUACAAAUCUCUAUGUUCAAGAACAGAGAUGCACUAUCAAACAUUCAGAGGCUUAGUUAUAGAAAACAGCAGUAGCAGUGGCUACUAAAUUCUGUUUCCCCCGUAUCAUUCUCAGAUGGAGUUCUGUGUGCCUUGCCCAAGCCAAGCUCCUGGCUUCUAACCCCACCCCUGUCUGCCUUGACACAGCUGCUCUACUUCAGCUCUGGGUUGACUUAGAAAUUUGACCACCCUGAUCAAGGAACUGUGAUGGCACAGAAGAGAAAUACAGCAUAAGGUUUCUGACAGCAACAAACCUAAAAUUUCAAGUUAAAAAAAAAAUAAUCGGAUAUGUAUGGCACACAUCUUUAAUCUCAACACUCAGGGGCAGAGGGCAGGCAGAUCUCUGUGAGUUUGAAGCCAACCUGGUCUCCUGGGACUGGGAUUAUAUUUGUGAGCUAUCAUGUUGGUUCUGAGAACUGAAUCGGGUCCUCUGGAAGAGAAACUACUGCUUUCAACCACUGAGCCAUCUCUCCGGCCCCCACUACUCAUGAUUUUGAAAGGUUAUUUUUAGGUUUCCCACCAUGCUUUGAAAAUGCAAGACAUCAGCACUGAGCAAAUCUGCUCUUGCUUCCUACCUCAAUACAAUAACUUUACAGUAAUUGAUGUGGGUGAGUCUUCAAAGAGUAGAUAACGUCCAGCCUACCGAGAGAACCCCAUCAUCAGGGAUAUUGAUCCGGUUGUGAUAAUAAAGCACAAUCUUUUGACAAGUAGAUAUCAUCUCAUCAAAACAGACCCAGGCUCAGCAGUAGCCAGAAACGUGGUUAAUUACGCAAACUGAAGAAUGAUUGCUGAGGCCCAAGAAGGAAGAAAGGGGCCAGGGUGCGUGAGGGGUGGUUGCUAUGCUGCAUCUGAAAGUCAGAAAACAACACCGUGGAACUCAGAGGCAAACUUCAGCAGCCAGUUCUCUACCGUACAGGGCCCAGUGAGUCCCAGGGGUCAAACUCAAGUAAGUCCGGCUUGGCAAGGAGGCCCUGUACCGGAUGAGCUAUCACAGUCGCCAGAGGGAAGAACGCUCAGGAAGAGGUAAGAAGGGGCUGGGAGGCAGGGCAGAGGCAUGCUGACACUGACUGCUUUGUUUUGUUGUUUUAUCUAAUUUUUCUAAUACUGGUUGAAAAGCAAGGGAAAUAUUUUCAAAUAACAAGGCCAUACCUAAUACCUAUUACAUUCGAAUAUCUGGAUAGCAGAACCCCAAUGUCGGUACUAUUUUAAAAGUUCCCCAAGACUUGUUGCCUGAAGACGACGAGUGGAGCAGAAGGAAGCGUCGGCAGUUCUAGGAAUUUGUUUGAAUCAUAAAUUCUGCUGGGGCAGGACAGGUGUCUUUGUCUUUAAGAACUUGCCGUGGCCUGAGCUCAGCUCCCCGAUAUCCAUUCACAAGGCAGCUUCAGAGGUAGUACCUGAAAUCUCAGCGAGACAGGAGGACUCCCGAGACUCACUGACCAACCAGUGAGGCUAGUCACAUCAGUAAGGGCUACCAUCAGUGAGAUGACGCCAUCUCUCAAAAAAAAAAAAAAAAAUAAAGUGAAGAACGAUUGAGACCACCCAGGGGCAGCAUCUGGCCACACGCGUGCUUACACAGGUGUUCACACACAGGAGGAAGUGUUAGUUCUCCGGCUUCAUCCCAGAUCCACUAAAUCAAACUCUGUGUUCAAAGAACUAGCCCAGAUCACUUUGGUGAACAUUGAAGUCUGACAGCUGCUCUCGUGUGGUAACACAUACAGGACAGGAGACAGUACAUCCGUAAGUAAAAGGACUGUAAUAAAUUUGACGUUUGGUGGUGGCAAGUGGCCGAGGCGUCGCAAAGACAAACAGUUAAAGCUAUAGUAAUGAAGGUAAUCAAAAGAAGAAUUGGUAUCAAGCCAGUUUACCUUUGAGUAACGUGAAGGCUGGUCUUUGUUUUAUAGGAAUAAAAUAAGAGAAAGCUAAAUAAGGAAGAUGUAAGAAUCUAGAGUAAAUACAAGGCCAACAGAAAAACAUCCCUCAGCUUACACAAUCUAACUAGGCAAAAGGGAAAUCUCACACACAUUCUUGAGCAGGCGGGAGAAAUAACGCAAUUGACCAUGUACAAGGUAAUCCUUUUUAAUGGGUUCUAGGCAGAAACUGUUUAAUCUAAAAUUUUAUAUAAAAUAAUUUGGUAUGGUAAGUAAUUGAUCUUGAUGAAGUUUAGAACAAAACUCCAGUAGUAUACAAAUGAAUGCUAUGUAUAUUUAAUUAGUAAACGUGGUUAAUCAUGGUGCAUGACUCACAGGCCUGAAUAACCUCCUUCUCCUAAUUUUAAAGCCUUGGCUAAAACUACAGGCUGGAGAGAUGGCUCAGCAGUUUAGAGCACUGGCUGCUCUUCCAGAGGUCCUCAGCACACACGUGGCAGCUCACAGCUAUCGGUAACUCUGCCUCCAGGAGAUGUGACGCCCUCUUCUGCCUAUGCAGGCACUGCAUGCACACAAUGUGCAGGCGUACACGCAGGCAAAAUAACCGCACAAAAAAUAAAAAUAAAUCUUGAAACAAACAACUAAGGGCGGGACAUGUAUGGUAGAGUGUUUGACUAACGUACACGAAGUCCUCAGUUCAGUUGAACAAUCAGCUCUGCAAACCCAGGCACGGUGGCACAUGUCUGUGAUCUGGGGAGGGGGGCAGGGGAGGGAGUGGGGGUGCUUUCUACAUCAUG